GAUUUGCCGGUUCUUCCACGCCAACAGAUGGUACGUGAUCAUGUUUGGUUUUGUUUCUUGUUUUUCCCCUUUCAGUUAAUUUUGAUAAGUGUAGCUGUAGCCACUAAUUUGAUUAUUCCAUUUCAAUUAUAUUGCAUUCUGUUGAACCUGAACCAAUUGGUUGCAAGUUGUAUUACCUUGUAGUUUAGUAGAUAACAAAUGACUUAUAUGCAACAGUAUUAUAACUAUUUUGAAGUAGCAUUUUUUACAUCUUUAAUCAAGCAUGCACUAGCUAAUUACUUAACACUAGCAUUUUUUAAAGAGUAAGGUUGUACUAUGUUAGAAUGGGUAAGUAAAUAUUUCUUCAAGAGUAACAUUGUCUUUUGAUGCAUCGAAAUUUAAUUAAGAAAGCCUAAAUUAACAUUGUGAUAGUUUUAUAGACAGAGAAAAUGAAAGGCCCGAUAGCGGACGAAGCAUUUCCCUGAUCCUGAUCAACCGCAAUUGGUUCUUCAAGUGCAAGUCUUGACUCGGUGUUAGAGACAGUCGACAAAGUCCAUUGAUACAUCUAUGUUUUCUGUUACAGUAGUAUUUAUUUACAUAUAGUUUUCCAUUUAGAUCUGUGUGCUUAAUUGACAGUUUCUAGUUUCUAAAACAUUCUCUCUAUCUAUCUACCUGUAGUGGCUCAUGC
rnacentral:lncRNA from 1 species